rnacentral:rRNA from 1 species
GACGAACGCUGGCGGCGUGCUUAACACAUGCAAGUCGAACGGAAAGGCCCUGCUUUUGUGGUGUGCUCGAGUGGCGAACGGGUGAGUAACACGUGAGUAACCUGCCCUUGACUUUGGGAUAACUUCAGGAAACUGGGGCUAAUACCGGAUAGGAGCUCCUGCUGCAUGGUGGGGGUUGGAAAGUUUCGGCUGUUGGGGAUGGACUCGCGGCUUAUCAGCUUGUUGGUGGGGUAGUGGCUUACCAAGGCUUUGACGGGUAGCCGGCCUGAGAGGGUGACCGGCCACAUUAGGACUGAGAUAGGGCCCAGACGACUACGGGGGGCAGCAGUGGGGAAUAUUGCACAAUGGGCGGAAGCCUGAUGCAGCAACGCCGCGUGCGGGAUGACGGCCUUCGGGUUGUAAACCGCUUUCGCCUGUGACGCAGCGUGAGUGACGGUAAUGGGUAAAGAAGCACCGGCUAACUACGUG